GUCUGUAACAGGUUUCCGUAGGUGAACCUGCGGAAGGAUCAUUA
rnacentral:rRNA from 1 species